GUAUAGUUUUAUUGACUUUUUAAAAAAGCCACACUACAAUCCAUAAUAAAUCAUGUGUAAUAAAAACAUAGACAAGGACGUCAAUCCCUAUUUGUCUACGAAAGGUGCACAGGUGGAUGUAAAGGUUGAGAGUGCACGUUGCCCUUUGAAGGGGGCCAGCACAUCCCAUUUGAAAUCAAUAAUGAUCCUUCCGCAGGUUCACCUACGGAAA
rnacentral:misc_RNA from 1 species